UGUCCCUUGAAACACAAUGAGAACGUCUCCUCCACAUUGUUUGACUGUAGAUUUGCGGCACCAUGCAGGGUGCUUAAGACUCUGAUCCUGAAUCUACUCCCCAGUGAAAAAGGCCCCAUUGGAUGCAGUGAGAUCUGCCGCCUGAGCUGGCUGGCUUAGCAUCACACCAGUUGUGUUUCUGUUCUCUUUUGGGGGUGAAGCAAGAAACCUGGCUGGUACAUGAAGAGUUGUAAUAUGUGGGGAACCAGACCCACAAGGAGGUCGGCUGGAGAUGACUUGCCUUUUCCCCGCACUAGUGGUGUAGUGGGUGUGUAUGGUUGCAUGCGAGGCUGCUCUGGCCUUUGGGAAAAUGCCUUCUUCUGCUCAGAGGCUUUGGACACUACAAAUCCCAGAGUCCACUCAGUGAGACAGGCCAGUUCUGAGGAUGGUCAUCCAACAAUAUCCCCUAUGCAGCAAGCUUGAUCAGGAAAGAAAAACUUGGCACACAUCUCAGCAAAAGCUAAAAGGAAGGAACCACCUGUAAAGAUACUACCCAUCAUUCUGAACCCUGACUUUACCUAAAGACUGAAAAUGGAAAAGCUUUGGGUAUUAAAACAAAAUAAUGAAGAAACAAACAAACAAAAAAUCAGGUUCCACUGAAUCGAAGGGCAAGUGACCUCAAAGGUUCUUGGACAAUGUAAAUUAGAAUGUAGCAGCCAUUUAUUAAUUUUAAAGAAAGAAGGGGAAACUUGGAAUAAUUCAAGAAGGCCUAUCUUGGAUCUUUUUGGUGGUACCAAAGUUUGGUUUCGUGUUUUUAGACGGACUCCUGAACAUGAUAGAAACUGUGAAAUGCUUUGAUCUGGUUGUGUGGAUAAAGCCCAUACAAAGAACAGUCUGGUGCUUCCCAGCCCAAAUGCCAUGAACGUUUCCGAGAGGGUCAGCGGUUUUGCUUUUGAAGCGUGAUUAUUUUCUGGAAAAGAAACGCCAUUCAGAAAAAAAACAUGGGCGAGCAUCACAUAAAGUCCUACGGAUGGAUGAGCAUUAGCCAUAACCAGGGCUUUCUGAAAGCAACCUGGAGACUUCAAGAAUUCCACCUUAUUCCACCCAACCCCUUUCUCAGACUUUGCCCAGUUCUCUCCCGAUAUUUUGCCUGAUGUAUGAAUGAAGAUUGUACCAUUCCAGAAAUAUUUUACAAUUUAUGAUUGAGUGUAAUUAAAGAUAUAACCACUGAGAUUAAAAAGAAACAAAGGU
rnacentral:lncRNA from 1 species